rnacentral:rRNA from 1 species
GAUGAACGCUGGCGGCGUGCCUAAUACAUGCAAGUCGAGCGAACAGAUAAGGAGCUUGCUCCUUUGACGUUAGCGGCGGACGGGUGAGUAACACGUGGGUAACCUACCUAUAAGACUGGGAUAACUUCGGGAAACCGGAGCUAAUACCGGAUAAUAUUUCGAACCGCAUGGUUCGAUAGUGAAAGAUGGUUUUGCUAUCACUUAUAGAUGGUCCCGCGCCGUAUUAGUUAGUUGGUAAGGUAACGGCUUACCAAGGCAACGAUACGUAGCCGACCUGAGAGGGUGAUCGGCCAAACUGGAACUGAGACACGGUCCAGACUCCUACGGGAGGCAGCAGUAGGGAAUCUUCCGCAAUGGGCGAAAGCCUGACGGAGCAACGCCGCGUGAGUGAUGAAGGUCUUCGGAUCGUAAAACUCUGUUAUUAGGGAAGAACAUACGUGUAAGUAACUAUGCACGUCUUGACGGUACCUAAUCAGAAAGCCACGGCUAACUACGUGCCAGCAGCCGCGGUAAUACGUAGGUGGCAAGCGUUAUCCGGAAUUAUUGGGCGUAAAGCGCGCGUAGGCGGUUUUUUAAGUCUGAUGUGAAAGCCCACGGCUCAACCGUGGAGGGUCAUUGGAAACUGGAAAACUUGAGUGCAGAAGAGGAAAGUGGAAUUCCAUGUGUAGCGGUGAAAUGCGCAGAGAUACGGAGGAACACCAGUGGCGAAGGCGACUUUCUGGUCUGUAACUGACGCUGAUGUGCGAAAGCGUGGGGAUCAAACAGGAUUAGAUACCCUGGUAGUCCACGCCGUAAACGAUGAGUGCUAAGUGUUAGGGGGUUUCCGCCCCUUAGUGCUGCAGCUAACGCAUUAAGCACUCCGCCUGGGGAGUACGACCGCAAGGUUGAAACUCAAAGGAAUUGACGGGGACCCGCACAAGCGGUGGAGCAUGUGGUUUAAUUCGAAGCAACGCGAAGAACCUUACCAAAUCUUGACAUCCUUUGACCGCUCUAGAGAUAGAGUUUUCCCCUUCGGGGGACAAAGUGACAGGUGGUGCAUGGUUGUCGUCAGCUCGUGUCGUGAGAUGUUGGGUUAAGUCCCGCAACGAGCGCAACCCUUAAACUUAGUUGCCAGCAUUGAGUUGGGCACUCUAAGUUGACUGCCGGUGACAAACCGGAGGAAGGUGGGGAUGACGUCAAAUCAUCAUGCCCCUUAUGAUUUGGGCUACACACGUGCUACAAUGGACAAUACAAAGGGCAGCGAAACCGCGAGGUCAAGCAAAUCCCAUAAAGUUGUUCUCAGUUCGGAUUGUAGUCUGCAACUCGACUACAUGAAGCUGGAAUCGCUAGUAAUCGUAGAUCGGCAUGCUACGGUGAAUACGUUCCCGGGUCU